rnacentral:rRNA from 2 species
GGACUACUGGGGUAUCUAAUCCCGUUUGCUCCCCUGGCUUUCGCGCAUCAGCGUCAGGCGAGGUCCAGCACGCCGCUUUCGCCACCGGCGUUCCUUCCGAUAUCUACGCAUUUCACCGCUCCACCGGAAGUUCCGCAUGCCCCUACCUCCCUCGAGCCCGCCAGUAUCAGGGGCACUUGUCCGGUUGGGCCGAACGAUUUCACCCCUGACUUGGCGAGCCGCCUACGCGCCCUUUAAGCCCAGUGAAUCCGAACAACGUUCGCACGGUUCGUCUUACCGCGGCUGCUGGCAC